rnacentral:lncRNA from 1 species
ACCAAAGAUAGAUCCUGAAGGUUUGUGGGAGAAAGCUUAGACAGUAAGGUAUUAGUGUAUUUCUUUGCUUCAAAGACACAUAUACUACAUUUUAACUGCUCAGAAAUUGGGAUCUGUGUUACAGUCAGUGGCAUUUUGUAAUCACAGUGGCUGCACUGAAGCUGAGUUUUGCUAGAGAAGAUUUAUGUUUGUUUCUGCCAAACUCUCAGGGACAUUACUGACCUGAGAACACUUUAAAUAAUCUGAUGUAGUUUGGACCACCCUGGUGCGUGUGAAUUUAGUCUGCAAACUUAUGUGAAUACUACCUGUGAUUUCUUUCUGUUGAGUGGAUUUAUUCGUCAUUGACCUUUUCAUUAGGACUGUUGAGUACCUAUAGUGCCCCCUAACAGAUAUCUCCUAUUUGACUCCCCAUCUUGAGUAUUUUCUUCUUUAUAAAGUAAUGGUCUGUCUUACAAUUGAUGUCAUCUUAGAUUCAGCAAAAGACAGUAAAUAUAAUUAUUUAAAUUCACAGAAGCACAGAUCAGAUUUCUAAAGGCCAAACUCCAUGUUAUGCAGGAGGAAUUGGAUAAUGUUGUAUGUGAAUGCAAUAAAAAGGAGGAUGAAAUUCAGAAUUUAAAGUCUCAAGUAAAAAA